GGGCCGGUAGCUCAGUUAGGCAGAGCGUCUGGCUUUUAACGAGUCCGCGCGUUCGAUUCGGGCGGGUUCGGAAGUGACCAGAUGGUCGGGGGUUCAACUCCCUCCCGGCCCG
rfam:Halorientalis sp. IM1011, complete genome.